rnacentral:rRNA from 1 species
GACGAACGCUGGCGGCGUGCUUAACACAUGCAAGUCGAACGGAAAGGCCCUGCCUUUGUUGUGUGCUCGAGUGGCGAACGGGUGAGUAACACGUGUGUAACCUGCCCUUUACUUUGGGAUAACUUCAGGAAACUAUGGCUAAUACCGGAUAGGAGCUCCUGCUGCAUGGUGGGUGUUGGAAAGUUGCGGCGGAUUGGGUUGGACUCGCGGCUUCUCUGCUUUUUGGUGAUGUAGUGGCUUACCCAGGCCUUGACGGGUAGCCGGACUGAGAGGGUGACCGGGCACAGUGGGACUGAGGUGGGGGCAAGACGGAUACGGGAGGAAGGGGCGGGAGAUAUAGCAAGAAGGGCGGAGGCAGGAAGGAGGAACGUCGGGUGGGGGAUGACGGCUUUAGGGUUGGAAACAGCUUGAGCCUGUGAAGAAGAGUGAGUGACGGUAAUUGAUAAAGAAGCAACGGCUAACUACGUG